CGGGUGAGUGAUGCCUAGGAAUCUGCCUGGUAGUGGGGGACAACGUUUCGAAAGGAACGCUAAUACCGCAUACGUCCUACGGGAGAAAGCAGGGGACCUUCGGGCCUUGCGCUAUCAGAUGAGCCUAGGUCGGAUUAGCUAGUUGGUGAGGUAAUGGCUCACCAAGGCGACGAUCCGUAACUGGUCUGAGAGGAUGAUCAGUCACACUGGAACUGAGACACGGUCCAGACUCCUACGGGAGGCAGCAGGA
rnacentral:rRNA from 1 species